rnacentral:misc_RNA from 1 species
GUAGGUGAACCUGCGGAAGGAUCAUUAUCACGUAUCCACGUAUAAACCAUUGUGAAAAGUAAACUCAAUAUUAAUCGGAAGACUUGCGGAAUGCUUUUCGAUAGAAAGAGAUGGCAACGUUUCUUUCUUUGAGAAGUUAUGCUCUGUGUGCUUUCGGGCGCUCAUUGAGCUCAAGUGAAUCGACCGAUUGUUAUUAACCAUUUAAACCCCUUUUGAUAAAUUGAACUGACUUUUCUCCUACUCCCGUCAA